AGUUUAGUACAUAAACAUGACAAUGAUAUAAAAAACAUGUAAUGCUAAACAUACAUUUCAUUUGUUCAAGUGUCAAUGUCUGAUUCAGAAUCAUCUUGUAUACGUGUUGCAGAUUCAUAACCAUCAUCUGCUUCAGAUUCAGUACUGUCAGAUUCAGUCAAUAGCUCUUCCUUCUCAGUAUCAAUGUCAUCUGACACAAGUAUUGACUCAGGAUCUAAUUCACGUGGUUCAUCUCCACCAUCUAACUGGAUUACUUCAUUGUCGUCCUCCACAUUUAUUAUAGUUUGACUAUGAAGCAUCUGCUCUUGGUAAAUCUCCCCAUCAACUACUUCUACACGACUACGCGCGGGAGUAUGAAUUACAACUUGCCAAUCUGUAGGCGGUCUAUCCCUUUUCCUAACAGGACUAGGAGUGUAGUAUACUUGUACUGUUUGAGUUGGUAAAACAAAC
rnacentral:lncRNA from 1 species